GAUGAACGCUGGCGGCGUGCCUAAUACAUGCAAGUCGAGCGAACAGAUGAGGAGCUUGCUCCUCUGACGUUAGCGGCGGACGGGUGAGUAACACGUGGAUAACCUACCUAUAAGACUGGGAUAACUUCGGGAAACCGGAGCUAAUACCGGAUAAUAUAUUGAACCGCAUGGUUCAAUAGUGAAAGACGGUUUUGCUGUCACUUAUAGAUGGAUCCGCGCCGCAUUAGCUAGUUGGUAAGGUAACGGCUUACCAAGGCAACGAUGCGUAGCCGACCUGAGAGGGGGAUCGGCCACACUGGAACUGAGACGCGGCCCAGACCCCUACGGGAGGCAGCAGUAGGGAAUCUUCCGCAAUGGGCGAAAGCCGGACGGAGCAACGCCGCGGGAGUGAUGAAGGUCUUCGGAUCGUAAAACUCUGUUAUUAGGGAAGAACAAAUGUGUAAGUAACUAUGCACGUCUUGACGGUACCUAAUCAGAAAGCCACGGCUAACUACGUG
rnacentral:rRNA from 1 species